UUGUGCCUUAUUAGAAUAAACACCUAGGUAGAAGCCUCCAAGCUGCAUGGUAUGAAUUCCAGCAUCCUUCUAGAGCCACAAUGUGUGAUGCAAGAUUGCUGAGCAACAAAUCAAACACUAGUGAUGACUGAUAAGAAGGAUUUGUAAGUGCGGCAGUUUUCUCUGAAAGGAGUGCGGGUGAACGAGGAAAAAAAGGACAUGAAGGUCCAGAAGGACCCAGUGGUCCUAAGGGCAGGCGCGGAAAUACUGGCAAAACUGGACCACGAGGACCAAAAGGAAUACCAGGACAUCCAGGAUUUCGAGGAGUGGAAGGACCACCGGGAGCACCAGGCAUACAAGGGCGGGCAGGACUGAAUCGGAAAAUGGGCCAGCCAGGGCCAAAAGGUCUUCCAGGGAAGCCUGGAUUGCCUGGUGCUCAGGGACCUGUGGGAAUGUAUGGUCCUCGUGGAAGCUGUGGGCAUCCCGGGCAACCUGGAAAGCCUGGCUUAAAGGUAACAGCCACUGCAGUAUAUCAUAAAAUGCUGCUGUUUCC